GCGUUGGUGGUGUGACGGUUAGCGUACGCUCUCGAAAAGAGUGAGAUCUGGGUUCGAAUCCCGGCUGACAUA